CGACCGGGUCGGGCGAUCGCGUGAUAUCACGCCGAAAGGUAUUAUCAUGAGGAAAGUCCGGGCUUCAUAGGGCAGGAUAACGGAUAACGUCCGCCGAGGGCGACCUCCGGGAAAGUGCAACAGAGAUAUACCGCCCCUUUUGGGGUAAGGGUGGAAAGGCGAGGUAAGAGCUCACCCGAGCCUGUGGUAACAUAGGCCCGCUGUAAACCCUAUCCGAAGCAACACCUUACGGGACCGCAUAUGCGGCGUACCGCGUACACAGCUGUAUGCCGCGUGUGCGGCUGUCUGCCCGGCAGAAUCCCGUUUGUGUGGCAGCGGCUGUGCCGCGAGCCAUGCGGUGACGCAUGGCAAAGAUAGAUGACCGCCGAUUACAGAACCCGGCUUAUAGAUCCGGUCGCACC
rnacentral:RNase_P_RNA from 1 species